AACUUUAUUUUAGGAUUUUUUUUUCUUGAUUUCCCUUUCUAUUUUGUAUAAUCAUGUAAGCAGCAUACUUAUAUAUAACUCUUUUGUUUUAUUUUUAUUUUUCUUCUGCAUGGUGAUUGUUUCGGCUGUUGUUUUCCACCUUUAAAAUUAUUAGUUUAUAGCUAGGGGGCCUUAGCAAGUGUAAUUAAUAUUUGCAUGAUCCUCUUGUGCUUAACUCAUUCAAUGAUUGUGCUGUCUACACUUCCAAAGUGCAUUAAAAUUUUCAAAUAUUAAAGUAGUGACAAAAAUGAGAGAGAUUGAUUA
rnacentral:misc_RNA from 1 species